GAGCGAACGCUGGCGGCAGGCUUAACACAUGCAAGUCGAGCGGGCGUAGCAAUACGUCAGCGGCAGACGGGUGAGUAACGCGUGGGAACGUACCUUUUGGUUCGGAACAACACAGGGAAACUUGUGCUAAUNCCGGAUAAGCCCUUACGGGGAAAGAUUUAUCGCCGAAAGAUCGGCCCGCGUCUGAUUAGCUAGUUGGUGAGGUAACNGCUCACCAAGGCGACGAUCAGUAGCUNGUCUGAGAGGAUGAUCAGCCACAUUGGGACUGAGACACGGCCCAAACUCCUACGGGAGGCAGCAGUGGGGAAUAUUGGACAAUGGGCGCAAGCCUGAUCCAGCCAUGCCNCNUGAGUGAUGAAGGCCCUAGGGUUGUAAAGCUCUUUUGUGCCGGAAGAUAAUGACGGUACCGC
rnacentral:rRNA from 1 species